rnacentral:rRNA from 1 species
CACGGGGGGCCUACGGGAGGCAGCAGUGGGGAAUAUUGGACAAUGGGCGAAAGCCUGAUCCAGCCAUGCCGCGUGUGUGAAGAAGGUCUUCGGAUUGUAAAGCACUUUAAGUUGGGAGGAAGGGUAGUAACUUAAUACGUUGCUACUUUGACGUUACCGACAGAAUAAGCACCGGCUAACUUCGUGCCAGCAGGCGCGGUAAUA